CAGCAGCCGCGGUAAUACAGAGGGUGCGAGCGUUAAUCGGAUUUACUGGGCGUAAAGCGUGCGUAGGCGGCUAAUUGAGUCGGAUGUGAAAUCCCCGAGCUUAACUUGGGAAUUGCAUUCGAUACUGGUUAGCUAGAGUGUGGGAGAGGAUGGUAGAAUUCCAGGUGUAGCGGUGAAAUGCGUAGAGAUCUGGUGGAAUACCGAUGGCGAAGGCAGCCAUCUGGCCUAACACUGACGCUGAGGUACGAAAGCAUGGGGAGCAAACAGGAUUAGAUACCCCUGUAGUCCCUGUCUCUUAUAC
rnacentral:rRNA from 1 species